GCGGGAAUCCCCGCCCAAGACCUCCUCCCGGAGUGCUUCGGCACUCCCCUAAGGCCACAGGAAGACGACCUGCUUGAUAGGCCGGAGGUGAAAGCGCGGCAACGUGCGUAGCCGACCGGUACUAAGCGGCCGGGUGGUUUGAC
rnacentral:rRNA from 1 species